UCCUCAACCAACAGUGCCAAAGAAAUAGCAGUCAGAGUGGUUGCUUUUGGAACUACGUCAUUGCCACAGACAGUUGUCAAAGACGAAGCAUAAUCGGGAAGAAAAGCCACCAAAACGCCCGGCUAAAAUUAAUUAAUUUUUGAGUGAAAAUAUUUUCUUUAGAACAGCAAAAUGAGGAGGAGGAAGAAAAGUGCAUUGAAGGAGGUUCUUUGCCGCACUUUCCUCUCUCAUUUCCAUUGCGUAAACAACGACGCUUUCUUGGCCACUCUUGGAGCUCCGUAAGGAUAAUAGGGAUAAUAAACGAUUAAUUAAAAUUAUAAAAUCUUAAAAAAUGUUCUAAUAAAUGAAUUGAAAGAAGAUAAUCAAA